UUGAAAGGGAAACGAUUGAAGUCAGUCGUACCGGUGGGUAAUCAGCCUUUUGGGCGUGAUUAUGUGGAGCGUGAGGAGCUAAUCACCUUCAUGCCUGCGUAUUCGUGCACUUUGGGUGUACUUGCCCGCAUGGUUGGUUAACAUCAAUUUCGGAAGCCAUAAAAUGGUUGGAGGAAUGUGGCUUCGACCUCGGUUGAAGUGUUAUAGCCUUUAGCAGAUGUGGUGAUCGAGAUUGAGGAUUGCAACGGAUACCCUUCGGGGCUACCUGUCUGAUCUCUGAUCGUUACUCUGGUGCCGAAAGCGUGCUUACGGUCAUC
rnacentral:rRNA from 1 species